GACGAACGCUGGCGGCGUGCUUAACACAUGCAAGUCGAACGGAAAGGCCCUGCUUUUGUGGGGUGCUCGAGUGGCGAACGGGUGAGUAACACGUGAGUAACCUGCCCUUGACUUUGGGAUAACUUCAGGAAACUGGGGCUAAUACCGGAUAGGAGCUCCUGCUGCAUGGUGGGGGUUGGAAAGUUUCGGCGGUUGGGGAUGGACUCGCGGCUUAUCAGCUUGUUGGUGGGGUAGUGGCUUACCCAGGCAUUGACGGGUAGGCGGCCUGAGAGGGUGACCGGCCACCUUGGGCCUGAGGUACGGACCAGACUCCUACGGGGGGCAGCAGUGGGGAACAUUGCCCAAUGGGAGGAAGCCUGAUGCAGCGACGCCGCGUGCGGGAUGACGGCCUUCGGGUUGUAAACCGCUUUCGCCUGUGACGAAGCGUGAGUGACGGUAAUGGGUAAAGAAGCACCGGCUAACUACGUG
rnacentral:rRNA from 1 species